rnacentral:misc_RNA from 1 species
GAGAGAGAGAGAGAUGUCAAUCUCCAAAAUGUUUGUAGAAUAUUGUCUAGUAUAGAAGUUAAUCUUUGUGCUUUCUUGAUCAAAUCACAUCCAAAACAACUUUGAUGUCAUUCACUCAUUCUACAACUCUAAGCUGACCUUUAGAUGAUUCAGCAUCUUGAGCUGAACUGGUAAGCAAGAAAGAUGAGCAUGAAUAAUCUGGGCUUUGUCCCUGUGCCUGUCAUGAGAAUCACUAUUUUCUGGUUUAACUAUCUUGACCUGUUGUUAAUAUCAGUGAAAUCAAAAUGUGAAUUUGCUACAUCUUCCAAGAAGGCCACAUUUGAACAAAAACAAUAUAUCUUUGAGGGACUGUCAUGGGUCUUAUAUGCUGGACAACUUGAUAGUAUCCUA